CAGGCAUCUGUGCCUUCAUUUAUUUCCUUUAUAUCUCAUGAUACUAAUACCAAGAUGAAGGAAGAAAGCUCAAGAGAAGAAGAGUGAGGAGGAAGACAAACCUGUGGAGUCUCUGCCAGUCGUCCCACAGCUUCAGUUCCAGCAUCAGUCCUCUGCCCAGCAUUUGAGAUGCCUCCAUUUGCUUUUCCUGCUUCUCCUCCUGCCCACCAGCUCAGCUUCUGUCCAUGCAGUCCUUCAACCUCCUGUCUCUUUGAGGGGCCAGGCUGUAUCAAGGUGGAGCUGGCUGCCACAAGAGAGUACAGCACAAGCAAGUCUCUCACGCCAUAAGAGAUCUCCCAAGGAACUUCCCUCUCUGUGCUCUUUCCUUUGCCACCAAAUCCCCUCACACUGUGGGAAGGUGCUCAGAGCAGCAUGGGAAGAAGCUAAGGGGAUGGGAAAAAGAAGGCAGAAGUCUUGGAAAGCUUGUUUCUGCAAGUCCGUUGUCACUGCGAGAGUACUAAGAAUUAUACACCCAGGAGAGCAAUUCACACAUUCAGCAUGCACACAGGAAGAUGUUGGCACUGGAAGCACAGCAAUGAGAAUGGCUUACAACGUGAUGAGGAAGCACUGUUGGAGUCCUCUCGCUUCUGUCUGUGAUAUGGGUCCGGAAUCAGAGGUGAGCACCUCUUGUCUGUUUGAUGGCCCCCUGAAAUAAGUUCAAAGAAUCAUUAAGGUUGGAAAAGACCUCUAAGAUCAUCAAGUCCAACCAUCAACCCAUCACCACCAUGCCUGUAGCACAAAGCAAUGCAGAACAGGCCUUGCUAGCAAUCAGCAUCUCUACCACAAAAGGAGAAGAUGGAUGACUCACGAAGGCAGCAGCUGUGUUUCACUCCCAAGUAGCAUCUGGGACACCUAAGGCUGGCUGGUAAAAGCAGGAGGCAGUGAGACUAAUGCUUAAAAAUUCAGAAAGGACUGCCGGGUGCAGAAGCAGAAGAUAAGGCAUUGGCACAGCAUUUUCCUGAAAUGCAACAUUAGUCCCCUUGUAGAGAUGGAUGAAGGAGAAGUUUUGCAGCAGCUGUCCCCACUGCACUCUUCUGUGAUUAAAUUCAGUCUCCUUCUCUGAAGCACUGACAUGGGCAGAGACGCUUAUCUACCUCCUCCUGUCCGUCUCCAGGGGGACAAAGACAUGGACAUUAUGACAACAUUGGUCCAGCUGCCAUCAGUAUCAAAAUAGAUGUGAGAUGCAGGGAACUAGUGGCACACUGCAGAGACUCUUGGUAAUGAUGUAACCCCACCCCAGGGAUGGGAAUACAUCAGUUCUGUACCCAGACUGACAGACAGGGAUAGGACAUGCCCCAUGUGAGCAAAAGCAACUGCCUUCCCUGCAGCUCCCUCCUGCAGCAGGUGAGCCACAGCUAUUGCCAUAAGGCCAACAAGUGUUUAACAAAAGCCUGUCUUCGGGCAUGCUCUGCUCUGCUGUCUGCACGGCUGUGCGAGGCAGAUUGCUGGCUCUUAUUAGCUAAAUAAACAAGCAGCAAAAGUUGAGCGAAAUGGAAGC
rnacentral:lncRNA from 1 species